rnacentral:rRNA from 1 species
UACGUAGGUGGCAAGCGUUGUCCGGAUUUACUGGGCGUAAAGAGCGCGCAGGCGGUCGUUCAAGUCGCGUGUGAAAGCCCCCCGGCUCAACUGGGGAGGGUCACGCGAUACUGAUCGACUCGAAGGCAGGAGAGGGUAGUGGAAUUCCCGGUGUAGUGGUGAAAAUGCGUAGAUAUCGGGAGGAACACCAGUGGCGAAGGCGACUACCUGGCCUGUUUCUUGACGCUGAGGCGCGAAAGCUAGGGGAGCAAACGGGG